rnacentral:rRNA from 1 species
UACGAAGGGGGCUAGCGUUGUUCGGAAUUACUGGGCGUAAAGCGCACGUAGGCGGAUCGAUCAGUCAGGGGUGAAAUCCCAGGGCUCAACCCUGGAACUGCCUUUGAUACUGUCGAUCUGGAGUAUGGAAGAGGUGAGUGGAAUUCCGAGUGUAGAGGUGAAAUUCGUAGAUAUUCGGAGGAACACCAGUGGCGAAGGGCGGCUCACUGGUCCAUUACUGACGCUGAGGUGCGAAAGCGUGGGGAGCGAACAGG